CUGAGAGUUUGAUCCUGGCUCAGGACGAACGCUGGCGGCGUGCCUAAUACAUGCAAGUCGAGCGGACAGGUGGGAGCUUGCUCCCUGAUGUUAGCGGCGGACGGGUGAGUAACACGUGGGUAACCUGCCUGUAAGACUGGGAUAACUCCGGGAAACCGGGGCUAAUACCGGAUGGUUGUUUGAACCGCAUGGUUCAAACAUAAAAGGUGGCUUCGGCUACCACUUACAGAUGGACCCGCGGCGCAUUAGCUAGUUGGUGAGGUAACGGCUCACCAAGGCAACGAUGCGUAGCCGACCUGAGAGGGUGAUCGGCCACACUGGGACUGAGACACGGCCCAGACUCCUACGGGAGGCAG
rnacentral:rRNA from 1 species